rnacentral:rRNA from 1 species
AAUCAACGCUGGCGGCGUGCCUAACACAUGCAAGUCGAGCGAGAAAAGGGGGGCAACUCCCUGAGUACAGCGGCGCACGGGUGAGUAACACGUGGGUAAUCUGCCCUGGAGUGGGGACUAACACCGGGAAACCGGUGCUAAUACCGCAUACGAUAACGAGGUCUGCGGAUCUUGUUAUGAAAGGAGCAAUUCGCUCCAGGAGGAGCCCGCGGCUGAUUAGCUAGUUGGUGAGGUAAUGGCUCACCAAGGCUACGAUCAGUAUCCGGUCUGAGAGGACGGUCGGACACACUGGAACUGAGACACGGUCCAGACUCCUACGGGAGGCAGCAGUGGGGAAUUUUUGGCAAUGGGGGAAACCCUGACCAAGCAACGCCGCGUGGGUGAUGAAGUCUCUUGGGACGUAAAACCCUUUCGACGGGGAAGAAAACGCAAGGUUGACGGUACCCGUAGAAGAAGCCCCGGCUAACUCCGUGCCAGCCGCCGCAGUAAUAC